UACGGAGGAUGCAAGCGUUAUCCGGAAUGAUUGGGCGUAAGGGGUCCCCGGGGGUUGGGUCAGGUUGCUGGUAAAGAAUGAGGCUUAACCUCAUCAAGGCAGUGGAAACUACACAGCUAGAGUACGGUCGGGGUAGAAGGAAUUCCUGGUGUAGCGGUGAAAUGCGUAGAGAUCAGGAAGAACACCGGUGGCGAAAGCGUUCUGCUAGACCUGUACUGACACUGAGGGACGAAAGCUAGGGGAGCGAAUGGG
rnacentral:rRNA from 1 species